rnacentral:misc_RNA from 1 species
GAUGAAGAACGUAGCGAAAUGCGAUACGUAAUGUGAAUUGCAGAAUUCAGUGAAUCAUCGAGUCUUUGAACGCACAUUGCGCCCCCUGGUAUUCCGGGGGGCAUGCCUGUCCGAGCGUCAUUGCUGCCCUCAAGCACGGCUUGUGUGUUGGGCCUCCGCCCCCCGGCUCCCGGGGGGCGGGCCCGAAAGGCAGCGGCGGCACCGCGUCCGGUCCUCGAGCGUAUGGGGCUUCGUCACCCGCUCCGUAGGCCCGGCCGGCGCCCGCCGGCGACCCCCCUCAAUCUUUCCAGGUUGACCUCGAAUCAGGUAGGACUACCCGCUGAACUUAAGCAUAUCAAUAAGCGGAGGA